GACGAACGCUGGCGGCGUGCCUAAUACAUGCAAGUUGAGCGAUGAAGAUUGGUGCUUGCACCAAUUUGAAGAGCAGCGAACGGGUGAGUAACGCGUGGGGAAUCUGCCUUUGAGCGGGGGACAACAUUUGGAAACGAAUGCUAAUACCGCAUAACAACUUUAAACAUAAGUUUUAAGUUUGAAAGAUGCAAUUGCAUCACUCAAAGAUGAUCCCGCGUUGUAUUAGCUAGUUGGUGAGGUAAAGGCUCACCAAGGCGAUGAUACAUAGCCGACCUGAGAGGGUGAUCGGCCACAUUGGGACUGAGACACGGCCCAAACUCCUACGGGAGGCAGCAGUAGGGAAUCUUCGGCAAUGGACGAAAGUCUGACCGAGCAACGCCGCGUGAGUGAAGAAGGUUUUCGGAUCGUAAAACUCUGUUGGUAGAGAAGAACGCUGGUGAGAGUGGAAAGCUCAUCAAGUGACGGUAACUACCCAGAAAGGGACGGCUAACUACGU
rnacentral:rRNA from 1 species